GCAAGACUGGCAUGGAAUCAAACAGAACGCUUAACCCGAACCCUGCCUUUGUGCCCACCGAAGGAACAGAUCAGCAUCAAGCUCAAGAUUAAUAUUGGACAACUCAUCCUGUGUGUAUAAAUAUCUGAAAUGAUCCUCCCGCACACCCACCAAGAUAGAGGGAGAAAAGCAAGGAGGACAAUUAAUCAAGUGUGAGGCUAUGAGAUGCCAAAACAAGGUUGAGUUCUUUGAUUCAGACGCCGCAAUCAAACGGUGCCAGAAAGCUCCAACCGCUUCCCUUUUCUUAUUUUGUAGCAACAUAUUACUUUUUCAGAGCUAAUAAAUCCUGAGUAGAGCAGAA